rnacentral:rRNA from 1 species
AGGUAAGCUACUAAGAGCGAAUGGUGGAUGCCUUGACUGGUAAAGGCGAUGAAGGACGUACUAGACUGCGAUAAGCUACGGGGAGCUGUCAAGAAGCUUUGAUCCGUAGAUUUCCGAAUGGGGCAACCCAAUGUAUAGAGAUAUACAUUACCUAUAUAGGAGCGAACGAGGGGAAUUGAAACAUCUUAGUACCCUCAGGAAAAGAAAUCAAUAGAGAUUGCGUCAGUAGCGGCGAGCGAAAGCGCAAGAGGGCAAACCCAGUGCUUGCACUGGGGGUUGUAGGACUGCAAUGUGCAAGAGGUGAGUUUAGCAGAACAUUCUGGAAAGUAUAGCCAUAGAGGGUGAUAGUCCCGUAUGCGAAAAACAAACCUUAGCUAGCAGUAUCCUGAGUAGGGCGGGACACGAGAAAUCCUGUCUGAAGCCGGGUCGACCACGAUCCAACCCUAAAUACUAAUACCAGAUCGAUAGUGCACAAGUACCGUGAGGGAAAGGUGAAAAGAACUGAGGUGAUCAGAGUGAAAUAGAACCUGAAACCAUUUGCUUACAAUCAUUCAGAGCACUAUGUAGCAAUACAGUGUGAUGGACUGCCUUUUGCAUAAUGAGCCUGCGAGUUGUGGUGUCUGGCAAGGUUAAGCAAACGCGAAGCCGUAGCGAAAGCGAGUCUGAAUAGGGCGCUUAGUCAGAUGCUGCAGACCCGAAACGAAGUGAUCUAUCCAUGAGCAAGUUGAAGCUAGUGUAAGAACUAGUGGAGGACUGAACCCAUAGGCGUUGAAAAGCCCCGGGAUGACUUGUGGAUAGGGGUGAAAGGCCAAUCAAACUUCGUGAUAGCUGGUUCUCUCCGAAAUAUAUUUAGGUAUAGCGUUGUGUCGUAAUAUAAGGGGGUAGAGCACUGAAUGGGCUAGGGCAUACACCAAUGUACCAAACCCUAUCAAACUCCGAAUACCUUAUAUGUAAUCACAGCAGUCAGGCGGCGAGUGAUAAAAUCCGUCGUCAAGAGGGAAACAACCCAGACUACCAGCUAAGGUCCCUAAAUCUUACUUAAGUGGAAAACGAUGUGAAGUUACUUAAACAACCAGGAGGUUGGCUUAGAAGCAGCCAUCCUUUAAAGAAAGCGUAAUAGCUCACUGGUCUAGUGAUUUUGCGCGGAAAAUAUAACGGGGCUAAAGUAAGUACCGAAGCUGUAGACUUGACUUUGUCAAGUGGUAGGAGAGCGUUCUAUUUGCGUCGAAGGUAUACCGGUAAGGAGUGCUGGAGCGAAUAGAAGUGAGCAUGCAGGCAUGAGUAGCGAUAAUUAAUGUGAGAAUCAUUAACGCCGUAAACCCAAGGUUUCCUACGCGAUGCUCGUCAUCGUAGGGUUAGUCGGGUCCUAAGUCGAGUCCGAAAGGGGUAGACGAUGGCAAAUUGGUUAAUAUUCCAAUACCAACAUUAGUGUGCGAUGGAAGGACGCUUAGGGCUAAGGGGGCUAGCGGAUGGAAGUGCUAGUCUAAGGUCGUAGGUGCUUAUACAGGCAAAUCCGUAUAAGAAUACACCGAGAACUGAAAGGCUUUUUGAAGUCUUCGGAUGGAUAGAAGAACCCCUGAUGCCGUCGAGCCAAGAAAAGUUUCUAAGUUUAGCUAAUGUUGCCCGUACCGUAAACCGACACAGGUGGGUGGGAUGAGUAUUCUAAGGCGCGUGGAAGAACUCUCUUUAAGGAACUCUGCAAAAUAGCACCGUAUCUUCGGUAUAAGGUGUGGUUCGCUUCGUAUUAGGAUUUACUCCGAAAGCGAAGAAACUUACAACAAAGAGUCCCUCCCGACUGUUUACCAAAAACACAGCACUCUGCUAACUCGUAAGAGGAUGUAUAGGGUGUGACGCCUGCCCGGUGCUCGAAGGUUAAUUGAUGGGGUUAGCAUUAGCGAAGCUCUUGAUCGAAGCCCGAGUAAACGGCGGCCGUAACUAUAACGGUCCUAAGGUAGCGAAAUUCCUUGUCGGUUAAAUACCGACCUGCAUGAAUGGCGUAACGAGAUGGGAGCUGUCUCAAAGAGGGAUCCAGUGAAAUUGUAGUGGAGGUGAAAAUUCCUCCUACCCGCGGCAAGACGGAAAGACCCCGUGGACCUUUACUACAGCUUGACACUGCUACUUGGAUAAGAAUGUGCAGGAUAGGUGGGAGGCUUUGAGUAUAUGACGCCAGUUGUAUAUGAGCCAUUGUUGAGAUACCACUCUUUCUUAUUUGGGUAGCUAACCAGCUUGAGUUAUCCUCAAGUGGGACAAUGUCUGGUGGGUAGUUUGACUGGGGCGGUCGCCUCCCAAAUAAUAACGGAGGCUUACAAAGGUUGGCUCAGAACGGUUGGAAAUCGUUCGUAGAGUAUAAAGGUAUAAGCCAGCUUAACUGCAAGACAUACAAGUCAAGCAGAGACGAAAGUCGGUCUUAGUGAUCCGGUGGUUCUGUGUGGAAGGGCCAUCGCUCAAAGGAUAAAAGGUACCCCGGGGAUAACAGGCUGAUCUCCCCCAAGAGCUCACAUCGACGGGGAGGUUUGGCACCUCGAUGUCGGCUCAUCGCAUCCUGGGGCUGGAGCAGGUCCCAAGGGUAUGGCUGUUCGCCAUUUAAAGCGGUACGCGAGCUGGGUUCAGAACGUCGUGAGACAGUUCGGUCCCUAUCUGCCGUGGGCGUAAGAAGAUUGAAGAGAUUUGACCCUAGUACGAGAGGACCGGGUUGAACAAACCACUGGUGUAGCUGUUGUUCUGCCAAGAGCAUCGCAGCGUAGCUAAGUUUGGAAAGGAUAAACGCUGAAAGCAUCUAAGCGUGAAGCCAACUCUAAGAUGAAUCUUCUCUAAGCUCUCUAGAAGACUACUAGUUUGAUAGGCUGGGUGUGUAAUGGAUGAAAGUCCUUUAGCUGACCAGUACUAAUAGAGCGUUUGGCUUAUCUUU